UUCAUCUUUUUGUUCUUCCAGCUUGCUGCUUACGUCCUUAAUCGCAUCUUGAAACUUGUUCGAAAGAUCCAGCCUCAGAUUUUGACCCUCGGAUGACACCCGUUUGCAUUCUUCCAUUAAUACUUUGUUUUGGCGCUGCAACUCACGGCACAAUGACUCCAGUUUAUCCCGAACAGCAAUAGCUGAAUCUCUUUCUGCAAGAACCUGCUGAUACUUCAAAGUGAAUUCCAAAAACUCUUUUUCAGACUUAAAGGUACGUUUUACCAUCUUCCGUUUGGUUUCAGAGGCAUCUACUUUUUUGUUUUCAACACUCUCUGGUAAUGAUAUCUCCUUGACAGCUGAAAUAUUUUGGCUCGGGUCUCCUCCAGAGUCCUCCAUAUACUUGGGAUGUGAUUUUUCACAGUUGGUAGGCUGGGGAUGAAUUAUGUUUUCCUCCUUGUGGUGUGGUUGGGGUGGCAGCGGGUCAGUGGUUGAGCUGAAACCAUCUGGCAACGAUUCUGCCUCUGGAAGCUGAUCUGCGGCAGGGUUCUCACUUUCCAUCAGUGAUUUUCAGAGAAAAUGCCCUAGUAAGUGUCAGAGAGAG
rnacentral:misc_RNA from 1 species